GCAUUCUUUUCCCAUCCAAGGUGGCCAAGCACUGCAGAGUGGUUUUAUUUCUUCAAGAAAGCUGCUCAUUUUAGUAUUGCCCUUUAGGGAGUGGAUCGUGUCACACUGCUGCUGUCUUGUUGUAGCCUUGUUGUCAUUUUACAAACGUUUAUGGACUGGCCUUGACUGACUCCUGGUUUAUGUGGUGAUACGGCCGCUUGUUGUGGGGUAGGCACGUGAGGUGGAAUCACCCCCUGAUGUACGACAGUCUACACACUGGGAAUAGGUAGCCUGCACCAUUUAGAUUGCAGUGUAAGUGACAGUGAGGUUUGCAGUGGAACUACAUGGGUGAGUAAUUGGUGUCUGUGGGUUUUGUCAAACUUGUGGUGAACAAAAGCAGAAAAACUGUAAAAGAUGCUCUUUGUUGGAUUUAAUAUGAACAGCCACAUUCAUUCUAAUUUUUUUUUGCCUUGGCUUCAAUUAAGAUGUGUCUUUAAAUCUACGAUACCUUUCUUGUUCAAAAAGUUUACUGACAUAGUAAAGAAGUAGCUAGAGAACUCAGUAAGUAUGAACAGAAAUGGCUUAGGGACUCUUU